rnacentral:rRNA from 1 species
GUGGGGAAUAUUGGACAAUGGGCGAAAGCCUGAUCCAGCCAUGCCGCGUGUGUGAAGAAGGUCUUCGGAUUGUAAAGCACUUUAAGUUGGGAGGAAGGGCAGUAAGUUAAUACCUUGCUGUUUUGACGUUACCGACAGAAUAAGCACCGGCUAACUUCGUGCCAGCAGCCGCGGUAAUACGAAGGGUGCAAGCGUUAAUCGGAAUUACUGGGCGUAAAGCGCGCGUAGGUGGUUUUGUAAGUUGGAGGUGAAAUCCCCGGGCUCAACCUGGGAACUGCCUCCAAAACUGCAUGACUAGAGUACGGUAGAGGGUAGUGGAAUUUCCUGUGUAGCGGUGAAAUGCGUAGAUAUAGGAAGGAACACCAGUGGCGAAGGCGACUACCUGGACUGAUACUGACACUGAGGUGCGAAAGCGUGGGAAGCAAACAGGAUUAGAAACCCUGGUAGUCC